rnacentral:rRNA from 1 species
UACGUAGGAUGCGAGCGUUAUCCGGAUUUAUUGGGUUUAAAGGGUGCGUAGGCGGAUUUUUAAGUCAGCGGUAAAAUGUCCGGGCUCAACCCGGGCCGGCCGUUGAAACUGGGGAUCUUGAGUGGGCGAGAAGUAUGCGGUAUGCGUGGUGUAGCGGUGAAAUGCAUAGAUAUCACGCAGAACUCCGAUUGCGAAGGCAGCAUACCGGCGCCCGACUGACGCUGAGGCACGAAAGCGUGGGGAUCGAGCAGG